CGGGGGGGGCAAGCGUUGUUCGGAAUUACUGGGCGUAAAGGGCUCGUAGGCGGCCAACUAAGUCAGACGUGAAAUCCCUCGGCUUAACCGGGGAACUGCGUCUGAUACUGGAUGGCUUGAGAUUGGGAGAGGGAUGCGGAAUUCCAGGUGUAGCGGUGAAAUGCGUAGAUAUCUGGAGGAACACCGGUGGCGAAGGCGGCAUCCUGGACCAACACUGACGCUGAGGAGCGAAAGCCAGGGGAGCAAACGGGAUUAGAUACCCCGGUAGUCCUGGCCCUAAACGAUGAAUGCUUGGUGUGACGGGUAUCGAUCCCUGUCGUGCCGAAGCUAACGCAAUAAGCAUUCCGCCUGGGGAGUACGGUCGCAAGGCUG
rnacentral:rRNA from 1 species